GAGAGAGAGAGAGAGAAAGGAUGGAGGGGGACGGUGGCGUUCACGGGUGAGAGAUAGCCGGUGCGAGUUAAACGCGUGUCUGACCCUCUUUGUGCGUGCAACGGCCGGUGCAAUAGGAGUUAAUCGAAAAAAGUAGGCAAGACAGAGAUGGGAGGCAAUUGAGAAUCGGCGACGUCGAGACGCUUGCAAUUAGCCGGCGCUCGCUCUAUCUAGCCGCUAAUUUUGUCUGACGCCAUAGAGCAUAGAGACUGGAGAUGUUUCUCAGAUGGAAUUCUCGAAAAAUUACUUAAGAAUAGGAGAUUCUUCGCCGGUUGUUUGAACGAGAACGAUCGGUUUUUGCCAGUUAACCGGUUUAGAAUGGAGAUACGAUUCGAGGUGGUGGUCCAUGUCACUAGUCGACAGUACGAUCGUGAUCGAUGCGAUUGGAGAGAAAUGUUGGAUGGAGAAAAGACGCGCGGAUGAUUCGAGGAAUGCCGUUUCGAAUAUCGUUCAUCUCUCGUCACGUACAUGGUACUUUGAAACUUUGUGAAUUAUAGUAGGAGAUCAAGAUGUUUCAGAUGUUGGUAUCUUGUUUUUAAUUUUCAGUCAGUAGUACUCCACUUGAGGCGGUUCUCUAAUCGGGAUGAUUUAUCUCUGAAGGAAAUAAAUUAAUAAUAUUUAGUAACAAUAUAUUGCGCCAUUAAGUUACGGCUUUUAUUUGGU